rnacentral:rRNA from 1 species
AUGAACGCUAGCGGCAGGCCUAAUACAUGCAAGUCGAACGGUAAGUAUUUUAGCAAUAAGAUACCAAGAGUGACGUACGGGUGCGUAACACGUAUGCAACCUACCCAUAACAGGAGGAUAGCUCCCCGAAAGGGGAAUUAACCCUCCAUAGUAUAAUUGAGUGGCAUCAUUUGAUUAUUAAAACUCCGGUGGUUAUGGAUGGGCAUGCGUCUGAUUAGUUAGUUGGCGGUGUAACGGACCACCAAGACGAUGAUCAGUAGGGGAACUGAGAGGUUGAUCCCCCACACUGGCACUGAGAUACGGGCCAGACUCCUACGGGAGGCAGCAGUAGGGAAUAUUGGUCAAUGGAUGCAAGUCUGAACCAGCCAUGCCGCGUGCAGGAAGAAGGCCCUAUGGGUUGUAAACUGCUUUUGCCAGGGGAUAAAAUGGGCGUGCGCGCCUAAUUGAAGGUACCUGGUGAAUAAGCCACGGCUAACUACGUGCCAGCAGCCGCGGUAAUACGUAGGUGGCAAGCGUUGUCCGGAUUUAUUGGGUUUAAAGGGAGCGUAGGCGGACUUAUAAGUCAGUGGUGAAAUCUCGUCGCUUAACGACGAACGUGCCAUUGAUACUGUAGGUCUUGAGUACAGAUGAUGUUGGCGGAAUGUGUCAUGUAGCGGUGAAAUGCUUAGAUAUGACACAGAACACCGAUUGCGAAGGCAGCUGACAAAACUGUAACUGACGCUGAGACUCGAAAGCGUGGGGAUCAAACAGGAUUAGAUACCCUGGUAGUCCACGCCCUAAACUAUGAUUACUAGCUGUCGGCGAUAUACCGUCGGUAGCCAAGCGAAAGCGAUAAGUAAUCCACCUGGGGAGUACGCCCGCAAGGGUGAAACUCAAAGGAAUUGACGGGGGCCCGCACAAGCGGAGGAGCAUGUGGUUUAAUUCGAUGAUACGCGAGGAACCUUACCAGGGCUUGAAAGUUAGUGACCGGUGGUGAAAGCCACUCUUCAGCAAUGACACGAAACUAGGUGCUGCAUGGCUGUCGUCAGCUCGUGCCGUGAGGUGUUGGGUUAAGUCCCGCAACGAGCGCAACCCCUACUUCCAGUUGCCAACACGUAAUGGUGGGGACUCUGGAGGAACUGCCCGCGCAAGCGGUGAGGAAGGUGGGGACGACGUCAAGUCAUCACGGCCCUUACGUCCUGGGCUACACACGUGCUACAAUGGCAACCACAGAGGGCUGCUACUCAGUAAUGAGAUGCUAAUCCAUCAAAAGUUGCCUCAGUUCGGAUUGAGGUCUGCAACUCGACCUCAUGAAGCUGGAUUCGCUAGUAAUCGCGCAUCAGCAAUGGCGCGGUGAAUACGUUCCCGGGCCUUGUACACACCGCCCGUCAAACAAUGGAAGUCAGGAGUAUUUAAAGUAGGUUGCCGCAAGGCGCCUCCUAGAGUAAAACUGGUAACUGGUGUU